rnacentral:rRNA from 1 species
CGGGUGAGUAACGCGUGAGGAACCUGCCUCAAAGAAGGGGGACAACAGUUGGAAACGGCUGCUAAUACCGCAUAAGCCCACGGCUCGGCAUCGAGCAGAGGGAAAAGGAGCAAUCCGCUUUGAGAUGGCCUCGCGUCCGAUUAGCUAGUUGGUGAGGUAAUGGCCCACCAAGGCAACGAUCGGUAGCCGGACUGAGAGGUUGAACGGCCACAUUGGGACUGAGACACGGCCCAG